rnacentral:lncRNA from 1 species
GUGAGAAGUUCUCCUGGCAGAACAUGUGAACUUGAGUGAGCUGAGGUGGAGAUGUGGUCUCAGGCACGCCCAGGGGCCGCAGAGGUUCCUGGGUAUUGCAUGGCAGAGACCAAGUGGUGUGCGAGGGGUUGUCUUCCUCUUUACCUGCUCCUGUCUCCAAUGUCCCAUGGCGAAUGCUAUCUCCUUGUCCAAAGCACCUCAUGGAAGAUGGGCAGCUCAUUUUGACAGGCGCACUCCUCCCAGUGCCCCUCCCCUGGAUCACGGUGUGGUAUGCUUCCCCUGAGAGCCCGGAGAGGAGAAGGUCCUCUUAUUCCAAAUGCCUCCUGCUGGGCACAAGGCAGACUCAGGUCAUAAGUCAAGGAGAAUUUUGCACAUUGUUCUUAACCUGAGCUAGAGGCCUCCCUGGGGUCAUAUGAGGACACAGCCAGAGGGUGGCCUUGAGGCCCUUGAGGGCACUCCCUGGGCUGGGCUGGCCUGGCACUGUGCGGCUGCUUGCCUGGGAGGGCUCCUCUUGGGCUGAUGUCUGGCUCACAAACCUCAGAGGCUGCUGAGCACCGCUCCUCCCGACCACAGCCCUCCAACCACACUGGGUCCCCCUACCGCAGGGUUGCUGUGCAGGCUCUGGUACUCGUGUUGCCAUUGUCCUGCCCCCUGAGAUGCCCCCUGAGAGGGUCUGGACCCUCCUGCCAGGGGAGUCCUUUUAGUACGAGGCCAAGGUGUGGCAGACGAACUGAGAUUAUGCUUCUAGACUCGGGCUGUGUGAUCCGCCUUCCCUGGAGAACAUCUUCUGAAACAACCCCAGAUCAGAAGGUUUCAUGGGCCUCUUCGGCGAUGCCCACAGGGCUGAGCCUUGCCAUAGCCAUCUCCCUCUCCACCGAGGGCUCAGCUCACCGCCAGGGAAGAGUCCGUCAGAAAUA